UGUUGAAACACCAAUUCCUGUAUGCUCACCAAAGUUAAGCAAUGUUGAGUAUAGUCAUUACCUAGAUGGGUGACCACUUGGGAAUACCAGGUGCUGUAAG